CUAGCUGCUAAAGCCUGUUUCAGUGUUUGUAACAUCUUCAGUCAUCUUGUUCAUGCACAAUUUUACAAACCUUUGUCCAUCAGUUGUACCCGUAGAGUAAUUAAAAUCAAAAUAAA